UUUGAGCCCCCCUCAAAAGACAUGAAGGGGGUUGGGGUCUGUGUGAGUAGUGGGGAGGUGCAUGUGUAUCCACAUGUGUGCAUACACUCUUAAGUUGGGUGGGAAGUGGAUUCCUUGUUGGUUUCUGGUUCAGAGUGCUCUCCCACCACCAGAGACAAGUGGGUAAAAAGGUCAGUCCAUUGCAGGAAUAUAUAUCUGGGAGAGCUAGGUCCCUUGGAGCUCUGGAUGCUGGGUAACCCAGAGGUAAUGUGGGUACCCUUUCUGAAGCUGUCAGGGCUGUGACUAGCACCCUUAUCACCCCUCACUGCCUUGUGGGAAUAGUAGAGGGUUUUUUUCCUCCAGAGCCCCUGGCCUUUCAGUUCUUAACUAUUUCCCUCCAGGCCAGAAAGUUUUCUUUGAGGAAGGAGAGGAGAGGGUGGCAAUGAUGCCUUUGAUCUGGAAUUGGACAUUGCUCUGUCAGAGCACAGAGGAGGCUCAUAUCACCUCUUCCCUCUCCUACUUGGCCCAGCUGCUUGGAGGACCGACCCCAUGGCUGAGAAUAUGACGGCAAGAGGAACAGAGUUUGCUCCAAGUGGGAAAGGGUCCCAAGCAGUCCAGAGAAGAUGUCUGUGUGGCUUUCCCUCCCUGCCUCCCCCAGCUCCCACACUGGCCUUUGUAAAUAAAUGGCGUGGUCUUUGUUGUGAAAAAAAAAA
rnacentral:lncRNA from 1 species